rnacentral:rRNA from 1 species
UACGGAGGGUGCGAGCGUUGUCCGGAAUCACUGGGCGUAAAGGGCGCGUAGGCGGCGGGGUAAGUCUGGUGUGAAAUCUCGGAGCUCAACUCCGAAAUUGCACUGGAUACUGCUCUGCUAGAGGGCUGGAGAGGAGAUCGGAAUUCACGGUGUAGCAGUGAAAUUCGUAGAUAUUAGGAAGAACACCGGUGGCGAAGGCGGCCCACUGGAUCGGUACUGACGCUGAGGUGCGAAAGCGUGGGGAGCAAACAGG